CAGGGAGACAACAAAAUGUUUAAUAUUAUUAUUUUGUCACCUUAGGUCGAUCGGUACCUCACGUUUUUAAUUUAUUAAGAAUUUCAUUUCCUAAGUUUUUCUAGGUCACACCCAUUAUUUUUCCUGGGCCAUUAGCUCAGGUGGUUAGAGCGCACCCCUGAUAAGGGUGAGGUCCCUGGUUCAAGUCCAGGAUGGCCCAUAUCUCUAUGUUGGGGGUAUAGCUCAGUUGGUAGAGCGCCUGCUUUGCAAGCAGGAUGUCAGCGGUUCGAGUCCGCUUACCUCCACUGAUUACCACCUCUUCCAUAAUCUGUAGAAAGGAAAUGUUUUGAGUUGUGAUCAAAUUCUGAACGAAUCUAGCUUCCUAAUGAAAUCAUUAAGAUGCUGGACUCAGUGAAUCAAUUUCAUUGUUUUCAGAGAACCUUGACAACUGCAUAGAUUAUUUUUGAAAAGACAAUAGGCAUCUUUAAUGAUGCAGAUUUAUUAUUUGUGCGAAUGCAUUAAUAACAAUUCUAUUAAGCUGAUGCUUCAUUUUUGAAGUUAUU
rnacentral:tRNA from 1 species